rnacentral:rRNA from 1 species
CGGCGGGCCCGCCUUAACUGGCCGCCGGGGGGCUUACGCCCCCGGGCCCGCGCCCGCCGAAGACACCCUCGAACUCUGUCUGAAGAUUGUAGUCUGAGUGAAAAUAUAAAUUAUUUAAAACUUUCAACAACGGAUCUCUUGGUUCCGGCAUCGAUGAAGAACGCAGCGAAAUGCGAUACGUAAUGUGAAUUGCAAAUUCAGUGAAUCAUCGAGUCUUUGAACGCACAUUGCGCCCCCUGGUAUUCCGGGGGGCAUGCCUGUCCGAGCGUCAUUGCUGCCCUCAAGCCCGGCUUGUGUGUUGGGCCCCGUCCUCCGAUUCCGGGGGACGGGCCCGAAAGGCAGCGGCGGCACCGCGUCCGGUCCUCGAGCGUAUGGGGCUUUGUCACCCGCUCUGUAGGCCCGGCCGGCGCUUGCCGAUCAACCCAAAUUUUUAUCCAGGUUGACCUCGGAUCAGGUAGGGAUACCCGCUGAACUUAAGCAUAUCAAUA